GAAAAAGUUACCACAAAAUCACCACAAAAGUAGGCUUAAACCAUAAAAGUUUAAUUAUGUUGACCACUAAUUUAAUUUAACCCUUAGAAGCCCAGAUCAUGACCAACCGACAACCACAAAAACAGACAAUUUAGGACGAAAACGAUAGACCAAUUUUCCCUUGAAAAAGGCCACAUCCCAUGGCCGAAACGUCGGGCAGAUUAAAAUAAAUCGUUUGAUUUUGUAAGACUGAGAGUGCCAAAUUCCUCCGA